CCUACGGGAGGCAGCAGUAGGGAAUCUUCCGCAAUGGACGAAAGUCUGACGGAGCAACGCCGCGUGAACGAUGAAGGCCUUCGGGUCGUAAAGUUCUGUUGUUAGGGAAGAACAAGUGCUAGUUAAAUAAGCUGGCACCUUGACGGUACCUAACCAGAAAGCCACGGCUAACUACGUGCCAGCAGCCGCGGUAAUACGUAGGUGGCAAGCGUUGUCCGGAAUUAUUGGGCGUAAAGCGCGCGCAGGCGGUUUCUUAAGUCUGAUGUGAAAGCCCCCGGCUCAACCGGGGAGGGUCAUUGGAAACUGGGAAACUUGAGUGCAGAAGAGGAAAGUGGAAUUCCAAGUGUAGCGGUGAAAUGCGUAGAGAUUUGGAGGAACACCAGUGGCGAAGGCGACUUUCUGGUCUGUAACUGACGCUGAGGCGCGAAAGCGUGGGGAGCAAACAGGAUUAGAUACCCUGGUAGUCCACGCUGUAAACGAUGAGUGCUAAGUGUUAGAGGGUUUCCGCCCUUUAGUGCUGAAGUUAACGCAUUAAGCACUCCGCCUGGGGAGUACGGUCGCAAGACUGAAACUCGAAAUGAAGUUGACGGCNGAGACGAGCGAGACGACGAGAGGGAGAG
rnacentral:rRNA from 1 species